UACGAAGGGGGCUAGCGUUGUUCGGAAUCACUGGGCGUAAAGCGUGCGCAGGCGGCGCGUUAAGACAGGUGUGAAAGCCCCGAGCUUAACUUGGGAAUUGCGCUUGUGACUGGCGUGCUGGAGUGUGGCAGAGGGAGGUGGAAUUCCGACGUGUAGCAGUGAAAUGCGUAGAGAUGUGGAGGAACACCGAUGGCGAAGGCAGCCUCCUGGGCCAGCACUGACGCUCAUGCACGAAAGCGUGGGGAGCAAACAGG
rnacentral:rRNA from 1 species